AUUGAACGCUGGCGGCAGGCCUAACACAUGCAAGUCGAGCGGAUGAAGGGAGCUUGCUCCUGGAUUCAGCGGCGGACGGGUGAGUAAUGCCUAGGAAUCUGCCUGGUAGUGGGGGAUAACGUCCGGAAACGGGCGCUAAUACCGCAUACGUCCUGAGGGAGAAAGUGGGGGAUCUUCGGACCUCACGCUAUCAGAUGAGCCUAGGUCGGAUUAGCUAGUUGGUGGGGUAAAGGCCUACCAAGGCGACGAUCCGUAACUGGUCUGAGAGGAUGAUCAGUCACACUGGAACUGAGACACGGUCCAGACUCCUACGGGAGGCAGCAGUGGGGAAUAUUGGACAAAGGGCGAAUGCCUGAUCCAGCCAUGCCGCGUGUGUGAAGAAGGUCUUCGGAUUGUAAAGCACUUUAAGUUGGGAGGAAGGGCAGUAAGUUAAUACCUUGCUGUUUUGACGUUACCAACAGAAUAAGCACCGGCUAACUUCGUG
rnacentral:rRNA from 1 species